CGCGAACUGACGCGGACUUAAGGCGAUCACCCGUCGUCAUAGUGUGUCGUGGUCAUGGCGAGCAUGACCACAAUGCUGAACGUCAGCGAUUGUACCGACAAUGACAAUAUUUACUAGCUUUAUAUUCACUAGCAGUCCAAGGAUUUAAUGAAUGUAUUGACUCAAGGAUCAGUCUAUCACAACGAUAACGGCGAAGGAAAAGAAGCCAAACUAACCUUACAAAUUGUGAAAAGAAGAAGUCAUAUGUAAUACAC
rnacentral:lncRNA from 1 species